AUUUCAAGGUUUAUAAAAUAAAGUACCAGUUGAGCACUGGAGUCGGUGUAAUCGAUUGCCCCUCUGCACAAAGUUGCUGACCUUGUGCAAAAUUGAGAAAAUUAUAUAAUUAACGCCAAUUACAAGCAAAAACGAGAAACGUCGUCAGGGGGAUGAGUUUCUUUACUUUGUCCCAAAUUAGUUCUGAUUAAGGUAAUUUAAUAUUGAACAGUAAAUUGAGCAGUACAUUCAUUCAUUCAUAAAUUCGAGUCAUGGUAUCCUUUGUAUCCUGAAUGUUGAAUCGCAAUGAGACAACUUAUGUAUUUACAUCAAAAUAUAAUAUAUUCAGUUGGCUACUAAGUUCCCGCC
rnacentral:lncRNA from 1 species